rnacentral:rRNA from 1 species
CCUACGGGAGGCAGCAGUGAGGAAUAUUGCGCAAUGGGCGAAAGCCUGACGCAGCGACGCCGCGUGGGGGAUGAAGGUCUUCGGAUUGUAAACCCCUUUCGGGAGGGAAGAUGGAACGGGCAACCGUUCGGACGGUACCUCCAGAAGCAGCCACGGCUAACUUCGUGCCAGCAGCCGCGGUAAUACGAAGGUGGCAAGCGUUGUUCGGAUUUACUGGGCGUACAGGGUGCGUAGGCGGUUCGGUAAGCCCUUCGGGAAAGCUCCGGGCUUAACC